GAUGAACGCUAGCUACAGGCUUAACACAUGCAAGUCGAGGGGAAACGGCAUCGAAAGCUUGCUUUUGAUGGGCGUCGACCGGCGCACGGGUGAGUAACGCGUAUCCAACCUGCCCAUCACUUGGGAAUAACCUUGCGAAAGUAAGACUAAUGCCCAAUGACAUCCCACGAAGGCAUCCGAAUGGGAUUAAAGAUUUAUCGGUGAUGGAUGGGGAUGCGUCUGAUUAGCUUGUUGGCGGGGUGACGGCCCACCAAGGCAACGAACAGUAGGGGUUCUGAGAGGAAGGUCCCCCACAUUGGAACUGAGACACGGUCCAAACUCCUACGGGAGGCAGCAGUGAGGAAGAUUGGUCAAUGGGCGAGAGCCUGAACCAGCCAAGUAGCGUGCAGGAUGACGGCCCUAUGGGUGGUAAACUGCUUUUAUAAGGGAAUAAAGUGGGUCACGUGUGACUUUUUGCAUGUACCUUAUGAAUAAGGACCGGCUAAUUCCGUG
rnacentral:rRNA from 1 species